AUGGCCACCGAUAAGGCGGAGGCCGCGCGCUCGCCCUCCUGGUUCGAGCCUGCCCUGAGCGCGUCUACAGUCACGGAGAAGAACCUCGCCGCCAUGCUCCUAGUGACGGCGGACGGCAGCCACGAGGGGGGAGAGACAGCGCCCUGGGCCGGCUCUGUCAAGCCGGGAACCUUGGGCGGUACCUUCUCCCUUCUUCUUGCACAACGUCUUCGCGGGGCUGGUCCCCCCUUUCUCCGGCUUCUUCUAUGCCGUCCUUCGCCAUUACAAUCUCCACGCCCGCCAUCUUCAUCCCAACUCCGUCCUCCUCGUGUUGAUCUUUGCCUUUUACUGCGAGGCAUUCGUGGGGGUGAUGCCGUCCGUGGCACUGCUCCACCAUUUCUUCUACCUCCGGGUCAAGGAGGGCUAGUGUUCGGGCUGUGCCAACUUUGUCGCGGCCAAUGGCAGCAACGCGAUCUUGCGAGCCGGGAAGAAGGUGGAGGACUUCAGGAACAAGUGGAUCUUCAUGGACGCCAAGCGCUCCUACCCUCAGCUGGCGCUGCCGACUGGGAUACCAGCGCCUCACGAGGGAUGGAAUCACGAGAAGCUCACCGAUCCCCGGGUGGAGCAGUUGAUGGAGAAGAUGGUGGCCGACCUAAAGCUGGACGACCCGAAGGCAUAGAAGCUGAAGGGGCCAUGAUUGUCAAGGAAUUCCUGACACAGUGCCUGGCUCCGCUCCAGGCACACUCGCGCCCCUUGUGGAAGCUUGCGGACGAGGGAGGCGAACUCCGUCUGCGCCCGGACGACCUGCCCGAAGAGGAGCUGAACAAGGUCAUGCGCCUCCGGGUCGGGAAGGACCAAGGUUGCCCGCCAGACACUCAUCUGCGGCUAUACCGCCGGUCAGAUGGGAAAAGAUUGCCGCCGCCAUGCCUGCCUUCAACGAGCGCGGGCACGUACCACUGGCGCCUACUGGGCUUCGAGGCUCCCCGGUGA
rnacentral:rRNA from 1 species